rnacentral:lncRNA from 1 species
AAAUUUCACUUUGAGUACUCCCCGUUGUGUCUGAUCCUCCAGCAGGACUGUUUCCCCAGCAAGUUGUUUUUUACCAUUUGUCUGUCUUCUUGUAGACCAUCAGCAUUCCCCACAGUUUGGUCUGUCUAAGUAGCAUCUCCUGUUAAGGGUCCACUAUAUCCCUAGCAGAUAAAAAAAAUUACAAAAAAAGAAUCAUGCAUCCAUGCAUAUCAUAUCACAUCAUAUCAUAUCGCAUCAUAGGGAUUCAGGAUCAAAAUCCGGGUCUUCUUAGUAUUUAACCAUCUUCCACUAUGAUCAUAUGAAGAGUGUCCCGCUUCAUAUUCUCUAGUUGAAGAUACUUAAAUAGGGGCAACUGUCAUACCCCGAUUUUGGCCCUGAAAUUUUC